CCCCUUGUUUUCUCCUUCUGUGUCCCUAACUCCCUGGCCACAGCGGAUUCCACAGGCACGCACUCCCUCUACACCACGUACCAGGACCACGAGAUCAUGUUCCACGUGUCCACGAUGCUGCCUUACACCCCUAAUAACCAGCAGCAGCUCCUGCGGAAGCGCCACAUUGGCAACGACAUUGUGACCAUCGUAUUCCAGGAGCCUGGCAGCAAGCCCUUCUGCCCCACCACCAUCCGCUCGCACUUCCAGCACGUGUUCCUAGUGGUGAGGGCACACGCACCCUGCACGCCACACACCUCCUACAGGUGGGCACCGGAGUGGUCCCAGGUCUCCCGUGGGCAUAGAGUCCUGCCGCCCCUCACUACCGCCUCCCUCCCCGCAGGGUGGCUGUGAGCCGCACCCAGGACACCCCGGCCUUCGGGCCAGCUCUGCCCGCUGGCGGAGGCCCCUUCGCAGCCAACGCCGACUUCCGGGCCUUCCUGCUAGCCAAGGCGCUGAAUGGCGAGCAGGCGGCCGGCCACGCUCGCCAGUUCCACGCCAUGGCCACGCGCACCCGCCAGCAGUACCUGCAAGACCUGGCCACCAACGAGGUGACCACUACGUCGCUGGACUCGGCUUCACGCUUCGGCCUGCCCUC
rnacentral:sRNA from 1 species